GUAAAGAACCAUUUCGAUGUUUAUUUGGGUGUUUAGAGCUCAAGGUCAGCAUGAUUCAAAUCUGUUAAACAAUUUCUCCUUGUUUAGUAAUGGAAAUUCGAGUCCUCAUUUUGACUGUACCUUUCACCUGAAGAAUUUACUACCAUGCAGAAAAGGUUUCUGGACAUGCACUCUCAUGGUGGAAUAACCAAGACCGUCCAAUCUUUGCUGCAAAUCUUCUUGUUCUUUGAUUUUCUAAAGACAGUUGCCACUCUGGAGUGUGAAGUAUGUUCUGACAUUGGCACCAACUGUACUGGCAAUAUGAAGACCUGUGAGCCUGAACAAGAAA